CAGGCAUCAGACUGUGCAGCAGAUAAACCAGAGCAGCAGAGAGUUGACCAGCAGCAGGUCUGGGUGGGACAAGCUCUACAGAUCCCUCUGGUAAGAUUACACGCUCAAGCAGCUGCUGACUGUGUCCUGUCGCAAUGAAUUGCAUCACUCGAUCUGUCAGGGUAAAGGCGCAGCGCUGAGUUUACUGGAUCUGUAAAUAACAUACACUUGGACAAGUUUCCCCUCAGCCCGGCAUCCAGCAGAGGCACCCUUGUGCGUCACAGUGAGCCAGGAAAACACAGCAGUGAGUUACACUGAAACUGAGGUGCAUCACUCUUCAAACUGUCAUCGGUGCUAAGGAUACAUGGAGAAUGUGCUGGAAGCUCGUACAAAGACUUAACAAGAAGUUCAUUGUCUUGUCCACUUGUAUGCUUUUUAGCAUGUUCCCGCUCUC